GCGCAGCUAGGCAAACUGAUGCGGUCCGGACCGGGUGACCAUGGCGGUGUUUCAUGACGAGGUGGAGAUCGAGGACUUUCAAUAUGACGAGGACACAGAGACGUAUUUCUACCCCUGCCCCUGUGGGGAUAACUUCUCCAUCACCAAGGAUCAGUUCAUGUGUGGAGAAACAGUCCCAGCUCCUUCAACCAACAAAGGGUUAGUUAAGUGCUGAGGACGCUCUCAGAACCCACAUCCAGAACAGCGGGGGCUGAGCCCAGGUGGCUGGAUCCGGUGCAGAGUUACCAACCUCCUCAGUGGGCAACUAUCCUGUGGAUGGCCUCAUGGGUGUGAUCUACAUCAGCCACUGACCUCGGCGUGAAGAAGUGAGCCUGUGACACAUCAGCCCUGGAUUCCAUGCUUACCUGACUGGCAGGAUUCCUCUCUGUCCAUCUGAAUUUAAGGAAGAGCCCUGUGAACUGAUGGUUUUUCCUUCAAUUGGUUGCAUCAUUUGAAUAUCUGAAAAUUCAUUUUCUGAAAAUAACAUCAUCCGCUCAGUCCUG
rnacentral:lncRNA from 1 species